GUGUCAGCCGCCGCGGUAAAACGUAGGUGGCGAGCGUUAUCCGGAUUUACUGGGCGUAAAGCGUGUGCAGGUGGUUGUUCAAGUGGUGUAUGAAAUCGCUCGGCUUAACCGGGCGGGGUUAUGCCAGACUGAGCAACUGGAGUACGGGAGAGGGGCGUGGAAUUCCGGGUGUAGUGGUGAAAUGCGUAGAGAUCCGGAGGAACCCCAGCGGCGAAGGCGGCGCCCUGGCCCGUAACUGACACUCAGACACGACAGCAUGGGGAGCGAACGGGAUUAGAUACCCCCGUAGUCC
rnacentral:rRNA from 1 species